UGUACGGAAUGCAUAAUUCCAUAAUUAGCUAAAUAGUUACCCCAGGGAUAACAGGUUUGUACUUCAGAAUAGUUCCUAUUGCUAGAAGUGUUCAGCACCUCGAUGUCGGCUCAUCACAUCCUGUUGUUGUAGAAUAUAACAAGGGUUAGACUGUUCGUCUAUUAAAGUGAUACGUGAGCUGGGUUUAGUCCGACGCAAGUCAGGACGGAUUCUAUCUAUAGUUGUCCAUUACACAAUGAGUAUAACAUUCAGUACGCAAGGACAAGUGUUGUCUAACCCAUGGUUUGAGAGUUAAUCCCUUUUAAGCUACGUUAGGUUUAAGGAGCCUCGGUUCCUGUUAAUUACUGAAUACAUCUAAGUAAGAAACAAUCUCAUUUGCAAUCAGAUAUCUCGUUAUAUCUAAUCGGCGUAAUAAGUGUGCAUCAGAGCAAUCCAACUAGCUCAUUACGCUCCAUUUACACUGGUUCUU
rnacentral:ncRNA from 1 species